GCGUGAGUGGCGGAACGGCAGACGCGCACGGUUCAGGUCCGUGUAUUCGUAAGGGUGUGGGGGUUCAAAUCCCCUCUCGCGCAC
rnacentral:tRNA from 1 species